UUGUGUAACCACAAGAUCAAUUAUGGAAACUGACAUAAUAUUGUUCUGACACAUCGAGAUGCUUACAGCAAUUUUUGAGUAUAAUGCUUUGUUGUGUAACCACAAAAGUAUUUAUAUUCUAUUUUGACUGUAUUAAAAUGAAGGGUCCUACUUAACUAAAAUAUUAUGGUUUGUUGUGUAAACACAAGGCUAUUAAUGUUUUAGAGGCCAGAGUUUUUAUUGAGAAUUGCAUGAGAUGCAAUUGGAAAGAGUUUCCUACCUUUAAACUUAUAAA
rnacentral:lncRNA from 1 species